rnacentral:rRNA from 1 species
UACGAAGGGGGCUAGCGUUGCUCGGAAUUACUGGGCGUAAAGCGCACGUAGGCGGAUUGUUAAGUCUGGGGUGAAAUCCUGGAGCUCAACUCCAGAACUGCCUUCGAUACUGGCGAUCUCGAGUUCGGGAGAGGUGAGUGGAACUGCGAGUGUAGAGGUGAAAUUCGUAGAUAUUCGCAAGAACACCAGUGGCGAAGGCGGCUCACUGGCCCGAUACUGACGCUGAGGUGCGAAAGCGUGGGGAGCAAACAGG